GUCCUUUAAUCUUGUCUUUGGUGG
rnacentral:siRNA from 1 species